GCACCACCAGGCAGAGUACGAACGUCACCGGCUGCAUCUUCUCGAGCUAUGAAUCGGACUGAUCGAACAAUCGCCCCACUCUCCAUCCAGAUGCCGGCUAGUUGUGGCCCAUCACAGAUUAGAUGGAAAGGAAAGACAUUGUAACUUGAAGGAUAGAGAAGAGAUGGUGGCUAGUCUGAGACUCCAUUGGGACACUCCAUCUGGGGACAACAGUGGGGAUGCUGCAGCUCAAAGUUCCCGGCGGACAAGCGACAGCCGUUCCGUGGAAACGGAAGUAGUCCUCCGUGCACAUCGCCUUGACGCAGUAGCCCCUGUAGCCGGUGGGCAGGGCAGAACCGUACAGCGGGACAGCCAAGUCGAGCUCCUCGUAGAUGCAGUGAUCCGGCAAUUCG